GCCCGCUUGCGCCGGCCGCGGCUUGUUGUCGGAGCAGCUCCGGCGCGUGCGCGCGUUGUCUCCGGCCGACCCGAGUAGCCGGGUUCCCUCGGCUCCAGGCGCCCGCCCUCUGCCUCCCUCCCGGCCCCCAGUCGGCCGGUCCCCUCCCUCUCCUCGCGUAAUGGGGCCGGCGCUGCUCGGGGUCGCGCGCCCUGGACCCCGCUCGCGUUCGGUCUUGGUCUCGCGCUGUCAGGGACUGCCCGGCUCGCACCGCCUCGCGCUCUCGCUCAGUCAGUGGCGCCGAAGGCUCCGUUAAGCGGCGGCCGCGGUUCCUGUUUCCGUUUCUUCCUCUCCUUUCAGUCGGGAGAAGCAUCCUCCACCCAGACACCCCUCCCACUCCCCAGAGCCGGGCAGCUGCGGCUGGGCUGUGGCCGCGGCGACGGGGGACGGCGCGAUCGCCUCGCUCCCGCCUCGGGUUGCUGCUGCUUUUGCUAAGAGAACAUCCAUGACUCUGAUGGUGCUUUCAUUCAACAUAAAGUGCUUUAUUUCCUUUAUUGAUUGACUGAACAAAUUCAGGCCUGUGGAAACAUCAUGGUGGAAGGGCAUGUUGGAGGAAAGCUGCUUACUUUAUGGCAGUCAGGAAGCAGACAAAAAAGCAAAGAGCUGCAAACAAGAUACAGUCCCCAAGGCAUAACCUCAGUGAUUUUCAUUAAACUGGGCCCCACCUCCUGGCAGCCCAUGCAGCUGUGAACUCAUCAAUGGGUUAAUCCUAUUGAUGAGUGCUGAGGUUUCUUGCACAAUGAAUCAUCACCUCUCUGGAUUGGGUAAGAUAGUACUAAAGUUUUUAUUUUCUUUAAGGAUAGGGACAAAUUGGAAGUGUGUGUUCUCUUGGAUGAGGUGUAUUCAUAUAUUUCUGUGUGUUAUAUAACACACGCAUAGAGACACACACACACACACAUUUGUUGUUUUCAUUUUUUUUCUACCGGGGAUCGAACUUGGGACCUUGCAUUUAUGAGGCAGACGAUGGCACCACUGAGCUAAAACCCUGG
rnacentral:lncRNA from 1 species